rnacentral:rRNA from 1 species
GACAGAGGUGCCGAGCGUUAGGCGGAAUCACUGGACUUAAAGCGUGUGUAGGCGGGCCCGUAAGUACCUUGUGAAAUCCCACGGCUCAACCGUGGAACCGCUGGGUAUACUGCGGGUCUUGGGCCGACUAGGGGCAGCCGGAACAAGCGGUGGAGCGGUGAAAUGCGUAGAUAUCGCGUGGAACGCCGACGGUGAAAACAGGCUGCUGGGGUCGCGCCGACGCUGAGACACGAAGGCCAGGGGAGCAAACGGG